CGCACGAAUGGUGUAACGAUCUGGUUACUGUCUCAACAACCCACCCGGCGAAAUUGUGGUACCGGUGAAGAUGCCGGUUACCCGCGACAAGACGGAAAGACCCCAUGGAGCUUUACUGCAGCCUGAUAUUGGAUUUCGGUAUUACAUGUACAGGAUAGGUGGGAGACAGGGAAGCCAAGGCGUCAGCUUUGGUGGAGUCGACCUUGGGAUACCACUCUUGUAGUGCUGGAAUUCUAACUUGCGGCCGUGCAACCGGCCGGAGGACAUUGUCAGGUGGGCAGUUUGACUGGGGCGGUCGCCUCCUAAAGGGUAUCGGAGGCGCUCAAAGGUUGGCUCAGCAUGGACGGAAACCAUGCCAGAGAGUGUAAACGCACAAGCCAGCCUGACUGCGAGACUGACAAGUCGAGCAGGAACGAAAG
rnacentral:rRNA from 1 species